AUAAACCAACAUUCUCUGCCCAGAGGGAGAAGCUUAGCUAUGGCGACCGCAAUUAUGACCGUUCUCUCCCACGUGUCUGUCCCGAGUCAACUCACCAAUACUAUGUGCUUCUUGUUCAACACGUACUAUACACCGAUCAUCAAACACAGGAGAUUCGCGCCAAAAGUUCGAUCUUCAUCUACUGCCUUCGUCAAAACCAAGCCAGCAGUUUGCUUUUCUUUUCGCUUAUCGUUUUGCCUGCUUGGUUGCUAAUGUCGGUGCGGCUGAAGUGGUUAUUUGGUUUUGAUAUGUUUUGUUUAGGAUCCUGUGGUGGUUGAAAAAAAGGUUAUUGAUAGGUGAUGGCGUAUUGUCCGUAUUCUGCUGGGUCUAGUUUGCAGUGCGGGCGUUGUAAGAACAGUUGCUCUCGGAAGGAAAAACAUCUUGAUUGAUUGUUGCUAAUGGGUCCAUAAAUAUGACGAUUCUAUGCCCUUGGCUACUGAAUUUUUCAGGUGCGGAAAUGCUAUCCAUUGGGAUUGUUUUAUGGCUUAGACAGCGUUCAUACACAUUCGCAUUGAGAUUAGAUGUGAAUAGAUCCAUAUGGUGGAAUUGGUAUCUGCAUUGGCAACUAUAAUGGUUUCUAGUACCCUGAUUGGGGAGGACGUUAUAGUUUACAGUCCUAAUUGUCCUUUUGUUUUUCCUUUAUCUUUUCAAAGUCUAGCUAUUCAUGGCAUAUAUGGCUGCAAUCUUUUUGAACCGUCUAAUUUGUCAAGUGGAAGAAAAGGUGAACUAAUGAAGUAAUCUAAUUUCUGAUCUUAAUGCAGCAGCCAAAUACAGUGAUUAGAACUGAUAUUUUGGGGUGUGGUCACCUAAUGAAUCGCGGAUUGGGUGUGAAUAGUUAAUCUGAUUUACACAUGCCAUUAUAGGAAACUCUGAUUGCAACUCUUGAAUAUGGAUUAAGUUCAGCAAAUGUAGUUAGUGCAACCAUGGGUGUGGAAAAUUUUGAAUGUAACUAGGAACCUAUUUCUGUGGUGACACGUCUUGCCAUUUGAUUUUGUGUGAGAAAUUUCUUUCAUUCUGCAGCUUAGAUACAACGUGGAACUUGGAAUGCUAUGAUUUCUCUUGGCUUAGAUACAACAUAACUGAAAUGGCUUAUUGCUAUGCAAAUUUUUUUGAAAAAUUUGCAAAGUUCAUGAUGAAUAGAUAUUUAGAGAUAUAAUUAAAACUAAGAUAUAUAACUAAAUAACAAGUAUAAAUAUAUCAAAUAAAGACUUUAAAUCCAUCAUAUUUAGACAUGAUUAGUAUUAAUUAAUUUAUAAUAAAAUAACGAGGAUAUUGGAUGGGCAUAUGGAGUAUGGUUCACUGUAGUAGUAUCCUGAAUGGGUUGGGAGAAUAUGGAUGUAAAAGUGUAGAUUAAUUGCUCUUAUUCACUUCAAAUGAACCUUUACUAUUUGAUAUCUUAGUUCAAGAAAUAAAGAUUUUGUGAAGAUGGGAAAUUUGAGAGAAAUAGAUGGAAAACGUCUGAUGAGUAAUGUCCUAUAUGUCCACGUGGGUAAUGCUUGUUACCCAUUAAGUAACGGCCGGUAACAGCCGUUGCCCGUUAUUUGUGUGUGUGUGUAUAUAUAUAUAUAUAUUUGUUGUUUAAAAGAGGUAUCAAUGACGCUAUCCCCCAAAAACCUGUAAAUGAUGGCUAUUAUGUAAUGUAGUUGUUGUUAUUCUUGAUUUCUUUAGGUCACUGCUAAUGUAUUUGGCACUGUCAUGUACAAUCAAUAUAAAACUACUGAAUACCACAUCAAAUGUUUUUUUUUCCUUAUCACAUUUUAAUAACUUCUUGAAUCAGGCAUCCAUUUAUCUCAUUUCUCUAUGAGAGGGGUUGGCGUCAAAAUUUCAUAUGGGGUGGUUUCUCUGGCCUGGAAAAAUAAGUGAUAGGACAGUUUCUUUAUUGAAAGUUACUUAAGCAAUUUUGUUUUCCAUUAAUAGAUUUCUUUCAAUGGCUGUCUUCUACAACCUCUCUCUCUCACCUGCUCCCUGUGUGUGUAUGUGUGCACAUAUCAUACAUAUUGCUGAUAUAAACUAGUGUUCGUGUAAGCAUCAAGGGGUUGAAGUUGUAGGUUUAUGAAUGAAUUAUACUUCUGGUAGUGCGAAGCAUAAUGUCACAGUCAUAAUCUAUAAUUAUGUACAUGUUCACGUGAAUAUUUUGGAGAUAAUAGAUGUUUUGUUUAUUUAAUAGAUGAAGGAAGAUUUCAUCUUUAAGAAAAGCAUGACAAUACUCAAUGAAACUCUCAUCGCUCAUGUCAAGUGUCUUUUUGUGGAAUGAAUAAAUGGCCUAGCUAUCUGUGCACAGAAAAGCAAACAGACUCCUUUUGACAUUGCCUAAUACACAAUGAGCGUUUUGAAAUGCUAACAUAUGUAAUAUCUAUCUUAUAAUCAUUAAUGUCAUUUAACAAAUUUUAUUGACAUUAACUAGAUUUUACCAAUCCAUGCCCAUACCUUUUCCUAUUCCCCUUGUAUCAUAAAGCCACUAAAGAAAUAGGGUUUUGUAAUGCAGUUUGAAUUAAUAGAGGAUUACCUGAAGCCUGUUUUAGGUGGAAAUAUUAUUGAUGCUAGUUGCUGUAGUGGAUUAUAUUCAAGACUUUUUGCCAAGGGUGGGUUGUUUUCUCUUGAUGUUGCUCUGGACUACUCAGAAAACAUGCUACAGCAGUGCUAUGAAUUCAUCAAGCUGGAGGAAAACUUUCUCAAAGAGUAUGAAUCAAAUCUUUUAAUUUAAAUGCAUUUUAUUUAUUUGAUUAUUUUGACUAAUCUAGAUAGGUGGUCAAACUUAUAAAUUUUAUUAGUUACACUAUAUGUGGAAUUUCUUUUCUGCUUUUUAAAUUUUAUAAUUUAGGGUUUUAUUUAUGAUUGAGUAUUAUGCCUUUAGCAAUCUAAUAUUUGUCGGAGCUGAUAUCUCUGGACUACCUUUUCUUUCUGGCUUUGUUGAUGCUGGCGCUGCUAUACGCUGUUGGCUUUGCCAUCAGCAGCUGUAAGCUUUUCUCUUGCUUGGUUAUUUUAAGCUAGUUGUUCUAUUUGCUUGAGAUCCCUUCAUUACUGGCACAGAACACAGGCAAUUAGUUACUGUUAUUUUGAGAGGAAGGUAAGUUCACACCUUAGCAAGGAAAGCAAAAGGUUUACACCUCAAAGCAUCCGGCUUUGAUGAAGCUCGUGCUUCACUCUUUUGAAUCCAUCUCAUUAUAUUUGUCUCCUUAAUUAUGAAAACUUGGAGUAACUAUUCCAUAAAUUCAUGUUUCACACUUUUGAUAUCGUUAUAUAUAGUUCCCUUUUUUAGGAAAACUUGUACCUAUAUAUUCCACAAAUUGUCUUAUUUUGACCUCAGAGACGGACCUAGUAUAGAGCCAAGGGGGGCACUGGGCCCCCUGGAAUUUCAAAAAUCUUCAGGGAUAUUUUAGUAAUUUCACUAAGCCCUAAAAUUUAUUUUCUCCACCAGCAGAAGUGAGCAGAAUUCUCUUGCCAAAAAAUCAGCCGACUGCCAAUAUUUGCCUCUCCUCUUCUCUCUAGUUACAUUUUCUUCCUCCAAUAUGUAUGGGUUUUCUUUCAGUUUGUGUAUUUGAAUUGCAUUGGUGGAUUUUCCAUGGAAACAAAGCUGUUUGCUUUAUUAGGGAUGGGUAUUUGGUGAAAUGCAUGGAAGCUCUGUUUUUUGAUAAUUAUUUUAAGCUUUGAACAAGACCCAUGGUGUUGGUGCAUCAUGUCCCUUUCCUUACCUUCAUAUCUGUUAAAUCCCAAAAUUUACCAUAAAUCCCGUAUUGUAGGUGCAAUUUGAUCUUUGUUGAAGAUUAAUUACAUUUUGUGCUUGAUCUUUACGGAUCACAGAAUCGCCCUAUUUUUUUGGGAGAUUUACUUUAUAUUUCUCAACUUAACAUAUUCAAUUUUUUUAGCAUAAUUAAGUUUCAUUUAUUAUCUAUCAUGCUGAAUUUUUUAAAAACUGUUAUUAGUGGCAUAUUUGUAAUGGAUUUUUUUUAAUGACAUGAUGUUAGUUUUGGUUAUUGAAUUAUUAUAUACUUAAUUGUUUAUUUAGCUAUGCAAUCAAAUGGUUUUCCAUGAGAUAUUGAAUUUAAUUAUAGAUGAUAAAUUAUUUUUGUAAUUUUCUGAGGCACAAGUUACACUUUGUUGAUUUAUAGGCUGAGCUCCUUUUGAUUUCUUAAGCACAUAUAUUAAUUGUUAGUAACAUGUUUUCUUUUGUGCUGAAAUAUUUUAGUAAAUAUUUGCAUUUACUAAGGUUUUCUUUGCUCUGAGAAAAUUGUGUUGGUUCACCAUCUCAUCUCAUCCCAUCUGUUGUUUGAGGAUUUAAAAGCUUUGUUUAAAGAUUUAUCACGACAACUUGCUGCAGUGACCCCUGUUUCUAACGAUUUAUUAUCUUUUUGUAAGAAAUUCUAUUGUCUAUUUAUAUUUAUUUCAUGUAUGUUAUUUUAUAAAUCACAUAUUUUAAUUGGACCCUUCUCAAUUGAAUUUCUGCGUAUGUCACUGCUUGGCCUUACUUCUGGCCAUCAUAUUUAGCUUCAUGAACUCUGGUGAAAGCUUUGAUAGACAUCUCUUCUGAAAUUUCUUAUUUUCUCUCUAUUGUUGUUGUUAUUUGCUUUAUGAGUUUUCAAAGUGACAAACAUUUUCAAGAACUUGAUGUGAUGAAUCAUGGUUAUUUAUUUGACUUCUUUACUUAAUACUCUUCUUUCCCAAAUACAACUUUUAUUGUCCCUUUAUUUCUUUAGAGUUCAUUUUGUCUGGAUUCCAUGGAAAGAUAGAUUCUUUGCUUCAAUAUCUCUUGACAAGUUAAUAGAUGAUUUCAGCUGGCAAAAUCUUUCUUUGAUUCAAUAUCUCUUGACAAGUUAAUAGAUCAUUUCAGCUGGCAAAAUCUUAAGAUACCCUUUAUGCUGCACAUAUGCAUCUCUUCACCCCUAGUUUGAAUGCAGGCUUCCUCAUUUUUUUGUGGAGUGUUUUUCUAUCAAUAUACCAGAAACAUGACAAUUUUUCUUAUCAACUUUAGUAAGCACCUAUGGCAAAUGAAAUUGACUAGACUCUGGCACAUACGGGAUUCCAUAUGUUAAGGGAUAUAGUUAAGUGCUUCGCAAAAAAGAACAGAAAAGAAGAUAUGACUCACAAAAUUGAUGAAGUUUCCAGAUUUGAUUUCGGCAUUCAUAUUGUGGAUAAAGCCUUAAAUAUGUGCAAGAUAUGAAUUCAAACUCUAGAUUUUGAGAUAAUGCAUGUCUAUUGUCUAGCACCUCUGAAGUUGUAGACUGUCUACUUUAUCUGUCGCUAGUGUGCUUUCCAAGAUCCCAAUUCCUCACUUUGCUAGCAGGUCUCCUGACUUGUUAUCUUCGGUUUUAUAGUAUCUGAAAUAAGUUGAGUUCUGAGACCUGGAGGUGUUUUCGUUGCUACAACUGCCAUACUUGAUGGGCCUUCUAGUUUUGUCCGACUUUUGGGGCCUCUACUCCAGGUAUACUCUUGAAUGGAUGUAUUUUAAGAUUUGCAUUUAGCAAUAGCAUUUGAAAAAUAUGGUCAAGGAAAGAAUUCCAGUUUCAGUUAAUGGCAUUGAAGCAGAUCAGUCCUUUCCCAUCGUCAUCUCUUGUAUUGAGAUCAUCAUGGUGUUUGCUAGUUCCUUUGGGUUGCAUGUCUGCUUUUAUGAUAGGAUUAGUAUGUGCUAGCACAAUAAAACCAAAAAUUAGAAGGAGAUGAUGAAAAGAAAAGGUGAACUACUAUGAAUUUGAGUGGCUAUUCUUAAGGACUUAGUUGAAUUUUUGUAAGCAUUCAAGUUUUAGUUUUAAUUAUGUUUCUAUA